rnacentral:rRNA from 1 species
CUACGGGUUGCUCCAGUGAGGAAUAUUGCACAAUGGGGGGAACCCUGAUGCAGCAACGCCGCGUGGAGGAUGACGCAUUUCGGUGUGUAAACUCCUUUUAUAUGUCAAGAAAAUGACGGUAGCAUAUGAAUAAGCACCGGCUAACUCCGUGCCAGCAGCCGCGGUAAUACGGAGGGUGCAAGCGUUACUCGGAAUCACUGGGCGUAAAGGACGCGUAGGCGGGCUUGUAAGUCAGGUGUGAAAUCCUACAGCUUAACUGUAGAACUGCACUUGAAACUUCUAAUCUAGAGUAUGGGAGGGGGAGAUGGAAUUAGUGGUGUAGGGGUAAAAUCCGUAGAUAUCACUAGGAAUACCUAAAGCGAAGGCGAUCUCCUGGAACAUUACUGACGCUAAGGCGUGAAAGCGUGGGGAGCAAACAGGAUUAGAUACCCGCGUAGUC